ACUUAGUAGGUGGGAGUUCAUUGGUGUAAAUGCAGCACUGAGGGUGGCCAUUUUUCUUCCCAAGACUGGAAAAUUAAUGAAAUGAAGAUAGAAACACCACAGAAAAGAUGAGAAAGAAUCUUCAGCAUCUAUGAUUUCUACUUCAGGUCUUCUCAUCAUUGCAAAACCACGGAAAUAUUUUGUCAGUGAAUACUGAAAUAAGGCAAGGUACUUGACGAUUAUCACAGUUACUGAUGGUGGUUCUGUAGAGCAUGUUAGUGAACCUGGAAAAGAAAACGAGCCUAGCACUGAAAUGCUGGAAUGUGCAAAUUGUAAAACUGGUGCUAAUCUCACAACCUUAGAAAAUGGAAGAAAAUCAACAAAAGAUAGUUUUCAAAUAAGCAUUUUAUGAAAUAUUAACAAAAGCCUUUCAAAAUAUAGUGCAAAAAUAGCUUUUUACAAAUUUCAAUUGUGUCUAAUUCAGCAAUGGAUGUAACAAGAGACAUAGGUGACAUUAGGAAAGAAAUAUUUUAGAAUAUAGAAGAAAGGGAUCUCGGAUAUAUGCAUCAAUUCCUCAAGAUGAAUGUAUUUAUUAUGUACCUGAAGCAUAUAUUGAUAAAAAGAGAAAAAAGGCAAAAAGCCCAUUAAUUGUCAUCCAUUGACUGUUUUAAGAGUUAAAGCAUGCAAACGAUUAUAAUUGAUCCCAUCUGAAUCCAUAAGCGUAAUA